UACGUAGGGGGCAAGCGUUGUCCGGAAUCAUUGGGCGUAAAACGCGUGUAGGCGGCCCGAUAAGUCCGCUGUGAAAGUCCAGGGCUCAACCCUGGGAUGCCGGUGGAUACUGUCGGGCUCGAGUCCGGAAGAGGAGUGUGGAAUUCCUGGUGUAGCGGUGAAAUGCGCAGAUAUCAGGAGGAACACCAAUGGCGAAGGCAGCACUCUGGGACGUGACUGACGCUGAGACGCGAAAGCGUGGGGAGCAAACAGG
rnacentral:rRNA from 1 species